rnacentral:rRNA from 1 species
CCUACGGGAGGCAGCAGUAGGGAAUAUUGCUCAAUGGGGGAGACCCUGAAGCAGCAACGCCGCGUGGGGGAUGAAGGUUUUCGGUUUGUUAACUCCUUUUUUUAGAGAAGAUAAUGACGGUAUCUAACGAAUAAGCACCGGCUAACUCCGUGCCAGCAGCCGCGGUACUACGGGGGGUGCAAGCGUUACGCGGAAUCACUGGGCGUAAAGGGCGCGUAGGCGGGUUAGCAAGUGAGAUGUGAAAUGCUAUGGCUUAACCAUAGAACUGCAGUUGAAACUGUUAUUCUAGAGUAUGGGAGAGGUAGGUGGAAUGCUUGGUGUAGGGGUAAAAUCCGUAGAGAUCAAGAGGAAUACUCAUUGCGAAGGCGACCUGCUAGAACAUAACUGACGCUGAUGCGCGAAAGCGUGGGGAGCAAACAGGAUUAGAUACCCUUGUAGUC